rnacentral:rRNA from 1 species
CACGUAGUUAGCCGGUGCUUCUUCUCCAUCUACCGUCAGAAAACCUUCGUCGAUGGUGAAAGGAGUUUACAACCCGAAGGCCGUCAUCCCCCACGCGGCGUCGCUGCAUCAGGCUUCCGCCCAUUGUGCAAUAUUCCCCACUGCUGCCUCCCGUAGGAGUCUGGGCCGUGUCUCAGUCCCAAUGUGGCCGUCCACCCUCUCAGGCCGGCUACCCGUCGCCGCCUUGGUAGGCCAUUACCCCACCAACAAGCUGAUAGGCCGCGGGCCCAUCCCACACCGAAAAACUUUCCACCACACCCUCACGGUGCGGUCCUAUCCGGUAUUAGACCCAGUUUCCCAGGCUUAUCCCGAAGUGCGGGGCAGGUCACCCACGUGUUACUCACCCGUUCGCCACUCGUGUACCCCAGCAAGCUGGGGCCUUACCGUUCGACUUGCAUGUGUUAAGCACGCCGCCAGCGUUCGUCCUGAGCCAGGAUCAAACUACU